rnacentral:rRNA from 1 species
AUGACGGUUGACAAGGAAAAACAUGAUGCUAAGAAAAGCACAGACGACUCAAGUAAGGAUGGAGCAGAAACUGAACAGAAGGGCACAAUGGAGAAAGGGGGCAAAGAUAGUGAUUCCGUCAACAAAGCCAUCGAAGACUUGUACAACGCUGUAUGCAAGCCAUGGACAAAGAGAGAAAUGGAUGAGCUUUUCAUUACAACGGACAAGUUUGAUGUCAAUCUAGGCCAUGUCGCCGAAAGCUUCAAGGUCGGUAAAUCAGUAGACAUCGAAGCAAUCGAGCCCAUGCUAACAAUCUUGAGAAAACAACUCAAUGGCACAGGGAGAAAGAUUCUGUCGUUAAGCAACACUUUCCUUAUACCAUGUUCGUUGCACGGGUCUGAGCAAGACGAAACUAUAAGUCAUUACUUCACCAUUACAGUUAACAUGCAAAAACAGCGCUUUGAACUCCUUGACUCUUCAACUGCAUAUCCAGGCACAACAGAAUUCUUCAACAAUGUAACCAGCAAAUUAAUGAAAAUCUGGAAGCACAUAAGCACAGAGCUACAACUUUCACAAAAAAGCAUCGACCAUUUCAAAAAGGUCAAACUGCAGGUGCCACUUCAAGGAGAAGACACAAUGGACUACGCAUUCUAUAUGUACAUGAACCUGAAGCACUACUCCAAUGAUGGAACAACAGCAACCUUAGAGCCAGAACAAGUACCAGAGUUGAGGAAAAAAAUUCUAUAUCAACCAAUCGGUCAACACAGAGGGAAUACCAAACUGUCAUUAAUCAAGUGUACAACAGAUAUGCUGAAGUAUGAAGUCGAUAUGGGAGACAAAGAAAUGCAACAGGCAGAAUGUUGCGUACUAGAAGAGUUUCCGCCAAAUCCCGAGCCAAAAGAACAUAUUAUGCAUGCGACAACCACACAAGAGCAUGAAGUUAUUGAUAUAUCCAGUAAACGCAAAGAGAUUAUGGAUGUCAGCAGCCACGCCGUCGCCCAAGAAUCUUGCACAGACCAUGAAGAAAAGGAUCCACCAAUAGAACCAGAUCAACCACCACCAGACGACAAGAUACCACACCAUGCUGAAGAGGAAACGGACAAGCAAAAUAUCAACAGCAAUAUCCCGAGCACAGAGCAACUUGAACAAAUAGGCACUGAUUUAAAAGAGGAUGACAGAAGCAACGACGUACCAAAUACACAAGAACAUGUUUCCGAGCAGAAGAAACAACAUGUUCUUCUUCAAGAAGAAACAGGCUCGACAAGCAAUCAGCAAGGCACCUCCAGCACCAUCUCUUUAGACUUCCUAAAACCCAAAACAAUGGAAAAGCAUGAAGAAAUUAAUGAAUUUCUUUUAAGCCUUAACCCGCUCCAACUAGACGAAUACCACGAGUAUGUAAAGAUGGGCUAUAAAUUCGAUGUAAUCAAAACAUGGCUGAAUGACUAUGAAAGCUAUGAAUUCAACAAAGAUGCCAAGCCGUAUCUGACAAUCUUGCAGCAAGAAUCAGGAGAACAUUCAAUGCCUCAAUCAUCCGAGAACAGCUCAGACAAGAAAAUCUCGGUCAAGAAGAGGCCGGUAAAGCCUUCAAGCAGGCUCCAUGGAAAAAUCAUUAUUCCUACUUUUGUCCCAGGAGAUUUCAAGUUUAUGAACAAAGCCAGAGCACUUCAUGAAUACCUAUUCAGCAAAGAAGGACAGGACGAAUGCGGAGAACUAAACGUAUAUAUUAGCUCGAAGCGACCCGAUUGGAUUACAGGAAAAAUAAUAAUGGAACAACUAAAGAAAGGAGAUACAGGAAAGAUGGAGGGCUCCAUCGCAAACGCAUUGUUCGAAGAAUGGACAGUGCAGCAACAAUACAACACAACCGAUAAAGUCAUACUCCCCGUAGAAUUGCAAACAUUGUGCUCGGUGUUAAUACUGGAGAAGAAGGAGGACUAG